AUUGAACGCUGGCGGCAUGCCUUACACAUGCAAGUCGAACGGCAGCACGGGGGCAACCCUGGUGGCGAGUGGCGAACGGGUGAGUAAUGCAUCGGAACGUGCCCAGUAGUGGGGGAUAACUAGUCGAAAGAUUAGCUAAUACCGCAUACGACCUACGGGUGAAAGCGGGGGAUUCGCAAGAACCUCGCGCUAUCGGAGCGGCCGAUGUCUGAUUAGCUAGUUGGCGGGGUAAAAGCCCACCAAGGCUUCGAUCAGUAGCUGGUCUGAGAGGACGACCAGCCACACUGGGACUGAGACACGGCCCAGACUCCUACGGGAGCAGCAGUGGGAAUUUGGACAAUGGGCGCAAGCCUGAUCCAGCCAU
rnacentral:rRNA from 1 species